UCACAGUGUGAUUCAAACAUACUAAUAAUUAUCCUAAAUAUGCAAAUGCUACAUUUAAAAUAAACCAGGCGCUCAGGGGGAAUCAGUAAAGAUUAAAAGGAAACCCUUUCUACUGAGAGCAGCAGAGGACACUUGUAUGUGCUGCAGUGUCCAUAGCUCAUCUCGUCAAGAACCUCUGAGGGACGACGUGCGUUUGAUCUACUUACGCUUGAAGAACAGGACAGACAUCACGAGUCCUAAGCCCAGACCAGCGCCUGAGACGGAGAGGAAACAUCACAUAAGAUUCUAUAUAGGAGUCUACGUGUUUGCUCACAAUGCACAGCCUCACUGGUCCAAACUGAGCCGGGUCAAGGAACAACAGAGAGGGCGAAGCAGCAGGCAGAACGAGUACCCUGGACGAACAGAUGAUCAGAGGCGAAGGGAGUGGAAAUCAGAGAGAAAUGAUCAAAGAAGCAGAAGAUGACCUUUUAUUUACUUAUAUGUUUAAUCUUAUGUUCCACUGAUUAUUAAUGAUAAAUAAAAUAAUUAUUAAUCUACUAUUGUUGAUUCUUAUAAUUGAUUUCUGAUGAUGAUUUAUUUACUAUUGUGUUGAUUCUUAUAUUCAGUUGAUUGCUAAUAAUAAGAAAAUAUCUUAAGAAACAAUGAUUUUCAUGUUUGAAUAAGUAUUAAGGAUGAUGCAUUACUUGCUAGACUGUAUUGAUUCUUAUCUUUAGCAGAUGACAAUGAUAAGGAUAAUGAAAUAGCAAAUGGUAAAUUACCUGAUGAUUUUUAUGGGGUUAAUGCAUAUGAGGAACUAUUAAACAGGGUAAUGUUAACGAGCUAGGUGCAAGUUUUGAUAAAUCUAAUGUGCAAGCUGAGUUUAUUUUAAUCCUGUGUGCUCAGUCUAGGUUUUUGCAGUGCGGGUGGAAAGUCCCCAGAUAUCAAAAUGAGAAGUGUCCAAAUUAAGUCACGUUGCCAGGUGCGAAGUGAAGUUCAGCUCAUGACUGUUCAAGUGUACUUGGCAGCGGAGCAUCUUCAUCCAGACGAGAUCAAGCAUCCCAGGGAGAAUCAAGUUCAAAACUGCAGUGGACGGGAUGGAGACAAAUUAUCCACAUUAUCUCCAACUCAAUGGCUUUCAAGCUGACGCCCAAACUACCAGCAACAUAGAGGUUAUAAAACCAGUAAAGCACUCAGAAAGACUGAAUAAUGGUUUUGACUGUAUUCUGAGUGUAAUUUUUUGAUUUCUGAUACUGAUCUUUUUUAUUAUUAGCCAUUGCCUUUUGCUUAUACCUGAAUAAACUACCAGCUUUGGAG